GGACGGGUGGCGCAAUGGCAGCGCUUAUCUUUCCGGUAGAUAGGGUUGCGGGUUCGAGUCCUGUCUCGUCCG